UACGUAGGGAGCAAGCGUUGUCCGGAAUCAUUGGGCGUAAAGCGCGCGUAGGCGGCUCGAUCAGUCUGUUGUGAAAGUCAAAGGCUCAACCUUUGAAUGCCGAUGGAUACUGUCGAGCUAGAGUCCGGAAGAGGCGGGUGGAAUUCCCGGUGUAGCGGUGAAAUGCGCAGAUAUCGGGAGGAACACCUAUGGCGAAGGCAGCUCGCUGGGACGUUACUGACGCUGAGACGCGAAAGCGUGGGGAGCAAACAGG
rnacentral:rRNA from 1 species